CUCUACCUCUGGAGGUGGAAUAUCAGGAUAAAAACACCUACAGCUGUGUGCUGAACAAUCCCAUCAGCCACCAGACUCAACAUCUGCACAUCACUCACCUCUGUCACACAUGUUCAGGUACGGCAGCGCUGAUGAUAUUAGCGUUUAUUGACUGAGCUGAUCUCACUUUGAUGUUUUUAUUCCUCAGUCCACUGUUGUGGUCCUACUGAAGCUGUGAUCCGAUUGGUCCUCUCUGCUCUGGUGGGCGUGGCUACUGUCAUUCUUGUGGUUUAUCACAUCAGAUCCAGAAGAGCUGAAGGAGAUCAAGCACAUAUUCACACAUCAGGAAGUGCUUAAAUCUGAAGCAGAACGCUGAACUUUAAAGAUUCUUCAAGUGUGUUUUUGUCAUAAUAAAAACUGAUGAUUAUUUGAGCUUCUCUUUCAGUGUCAGAUUUGUAAAACUCUUAUUUUAAGGCUUUAUUGUUUAUAUUUCUCUCAGAGACACAGAUCUCACUUUACUACUACUGCUGUAUAUUUGUCAUGUGUAUUUUACACUGUUAUUGAGGAUCAAAUUAAAAUAGCAUCUUUUUAAUGUGUCUGACGGAGUUGACACAAAUUACGUUCUGAAGUGAAUAAAUGUACAUUUUUAGAAGAAAACAUUUUCAGAAAAACCUGUUCCCUUACAUGUUCAUUAGCUGAGACCUUUGUCUACAAAUAUAUCAGUUUAUAAUAAUGUGUUAUUCAAUAAUAAAAACUAACAUCUCAAA